rnacentral:rRNA from 1 species
GACAGAGGCCUCAAGCGUUAGGCGGAAUCACUGGGCUUAAAGCGUGUGUAGGCGGAUCGUUAAGUGUCUUGUGAAAUCCCACGGCUCACCCGUGGAACUGCUGGGCAUACUGGCGAUCUUGGGCCAACUAGGGGCAACUGGAACAAGCGGUGGAGCGGUGAAAUGCGUAGAUAUCGCUUGGAACGCCAAAGGUGAAAACAGGUUGCUGGGGUUGUGCC